UACGUAGGGGCGAGCGUUGUCCGGAUUCAUUGGGCGUAAAGAGCUCGUAGGCGGCUUGGCAAGUCGGGUGUGAAAACUUCAGGCUCAAUCUGGAGCGGCCACUCGAUACUGCCAUGGCUUGAGUCCGGUAGGGGACCACGGAAUUCCUGGUGUAGCGGUGAAAUGCGCAGAUAUCAGGAGGAACACCGGUGGCGAAGGCGGUGGUCUGGGCCGGAACUGACGCUGAGGAGCGAAAGCGUGGGGAGCGAACAGG
rnacentral:rRNA from 1 species